AGUAGGAUAUCUGGGUCAAAUGGUGGUUCUAUUCCAAAUUUUUUAAGGAAUCUUCAUAAUGUUUUCCAUAGUGGUUGUACCAAUUUGCAGUCCCACCAGCAAU
rnacentral:pre_miRNA from 1 species